GGCCUUUUGAUUAUAAUUUAAGGUCGGGCCUGCCCAAUGAAAAGUUUAAUGGCCGCGGUAUAUUAACUGUGCAAAGGUAGCAUAAUCAUUAGUUUUUUAAUUGAAAGCUGGAAUGAAGGGUUUAAUGAAAAAAGUUCUGUUUCUAUUUAAAUUUUUUAGAAUUUUAUUUUUAAGUUAAAAAGCUUAAAUAACUAUUGAAGACGAGAAGACCCUAUAGAGUUUUAUAUUUUUGAAAAUUUUUGUAUUUGGUAAUUUUUAUUUAGUUUUUGGAAGUAUUUAGUUGGGGUGACUAAAAAAUUAGAGAAACUUUUUUUUUUAUAAAACAUUAAUGUAUGAAUAAAUGAUCCUUUUUUUAGAUUAAAAGAAAAAAUUACCUUAGGGAUAACAGCGUAAUUUUUUUUAGAGUUCUUAUCAAAAGAAAAGAUUGCGACCUCGAUGUUGGAUUAAAAUAAGUUUUUAGUGCAGAAGCUAAAAAACUAGGUCUGUUCGACCUUUAAAUUUUUACAUGAUCUGAGUUUAGACCGGUAUGAG
rnacentral:rRNA from 1 species